rnacentral:ncRNA from 1 species
AGAAUAUAAGAUUUCCAGAGCAUAACACUCCUAAGGAAGAAAUUCUAAGGGAUUAUGCCUGAAUUACAUUGUUAAUUCGCAGGGUAAUAUUCGAAAGGGUAUUAUCUCCACGUUUUUGGGAAGGAAAUAAGUUUUUGAUUUU